rnacentral:rRNA from 1 species
AGCAGUAGCCGCGGGAACACGUAGGUGGCAAGCGUUGUCCGGAAUUAUUGGGCGUAAAGCGCGCGCAGGUGGUUUAAUAAGUCUGAUGUGAAAGCCCACGGCUCAACCGUGGAGGGUCAUUGGAAACUGUUAAACUUGAGUGCAGGAGAGAAAAGUGGAAUUCCUAGUGUAGCGGUGAAAUGCGUAGAGAUUAGGAGGAACACCAGUGGCGAAGGCGGCUUUUUGGCCUGUAACUGACACUGAGGCGCGAAAGCGUGGGGAGCAAACAGGAUUAGAUACCCGCGUAGUCCCUGUCUCUUAUAC